GCCUGGGUGGCUCAGUCGGUUGAGCGUCUGACUCUUGAUUUCAGCUUAGGUCAUGAUCUCACUUUUCGUGGGUUCGAGUCCCACAUCGGGCU
rfam:Felis catus isolate Cinnamon breed Abyssinian chromosome D2, whole genome shotgun sequence.